GCACUGCUGAAGAGUCCCAUACUAGGAUGAAACGGCCGUUUAGUGC
rnacentral:hammerhead_ribozyme from 1 species